CAAAAACAUUGCCUAUAGCCCCCUCUAUUAUAGGUUCGUCCUGCCCAGUGAAAUAUUUAAACGGCCGCGGUACCCUGACCGUGCUAAGGUAGCAAAAUCAAUUGCCCUUUAAUUGGGGGCGCGUAUGAAUGGAUCCACGAGAGCUAAGCUGUCUCACAUUUGCCAUUGAAAACUAACCUUUAGGUGAAAAGGCCUAAAUAUACUAAAAAGACAAGAAGACCCUGUAGAGCUUUACUCCGACGAAGCUGAACAGUAAUUAUUUAUAAAUCUCUCGCACCGCUCCUAAAAAGAGUUUGGUUGGGGCAACCAGGGACUAUCUAAACCGUCUCUUAAUUAUCUAUGACAUCUCUGUCUUAUAAAAGACCCGUAUACUAAUAUGAUUCGAAGAACCAGCUACCUAAGGGAUAACAGACUAAUCCCCCUUGAGAGUCCACAUUGACAGGGGGGCUUGGCACCUCGAUGUUGGCUCAGGAUACCCUUUAUGUGCAGAAGCAUUCUAGGUAAGUUUGUUCACCUUUUAAAAUCCUACGUGAUCUGAG
rnacentral:rRNA from 1 species